AACGAACGCUGGCGGCAUGCCUAACACAUGCAAGUCGAACGAGGGCUUCGGCCCUAGUGGCGCACGGGUGAGUAACACGUGGGAACCUGCCUUUCGGUUCGGGAUAACGUCUGGAAACGGACGCUAACACCGGAUACGCCCUUCCAGCGAUGGUUGGGGAAAGUUUACGCCGAGAGAGGGGCCCGCGUCCGAUUAGCUAGUUGGUGAGGUAAAGGCUCACCAAGGCGACGAUCCGUAACUGGUCUGAGAGGAUGAUCAGUCACACUGGAACUGAGACACGGUCCAGACUCCUACGGGAGGCAGCAGUGGGGAAUAUUGGACAAUGGGCGAAAGCCUGAUCCAGCCAUGCCGCGUGUGUGAAGAAGGUCUUCGGAUUGUAAAGCACUUUUACCCGGGAUGAUAAUGACAGUACCGGGAGAAUAAGCCCCGGCUAACUCCGUGCCAGCCGCCGCGGUAAGAC
rnacentral:rRNA from 1 species